rnacentral:rRNA from 1 species
UACGUAGGCAGCGAGCGUUGUUCGGAGUUACUGGGCGUAAAGGGUGUGUAGGCGGUUGUUUAAGUUUGGUGUGAAAUCUCCCGGCUCAACUGGGAGGGUGCGCCGAAUACUGAAUGACUAGAGUGCGGGAGAGGUGAGUGGAAUUCCUGGUGUAGCGGUGAAAUGCGCAGAUAUCAGGAAGAACACCCGUGGCGAAGGCGGUUCUCUGGGACGGUACUGACGCUGAGACGCGAAAGCGUGGGGAGCGAACAGG